rnacentral:rRNA from 1 species
UUGAUCCUGGCUCAGAAUCAACGCUGGCGGCGUGCCUAACACAUGCAAGUCGAACGCGAAAGUGGAGCAAUCCAUGAGUAGAGUGGCGAACGGGUGAGUUACACGUGGGUGACCUACCUUCGAAUGGGGGAUAACGUCCCGAAAGGGACUCUAAUACCGCAUAACAUCCUGUCCUUGAACGGAUGGUGAUCAAAGCCGGUGAUCGCAAGACCUGGCGUUUGAAGAGGGGCCCGCGUCCGAUUAGCUAGUUGGUGAGGUAACGGCUCACCAAGGCGACGAUCGGUAACCGGCCUGAGAGGUCGGACGGUCACACUGGGACUGAGACACGGCCCAGACUCCUACGGGAGGCUGCAGUGGGGAAUUGUUCACAAUGGGCGCAAGCCUGAUGACGCAACGCCGUGUGGAGGAUGAAGGUCUUCGGAUUGUAAACUCCUGUUGCUCGGGACGAAUAGCUUCGACCUAACACGUCAAAGUCUGACGGUACCGAGUGAGGAAGCCCUGGCUAACUCUGUGCCAGCAGCCGCGGUAAUAAGGU